rnacentral:rRNA from 1 species
GGACGCAAGUCUGAUGGAGCAACGCCGCGUGAGUGAAGAAGGGUUUCGGCUCGUAAAGCUCUGUUGGUAGUGAAGAAAGAUAGAGGUAGUAACUGGCCUUUAUUUGACGGUAAUUACUUAGAAAGUCACGGCUAACUUCGUGCAAGCAGCCGCGGUAAUACGUAGGUGGCAAGCGUUGUCCGGAUUUAUUGGGCGUAAAGCGAGUGCAGGCGGUUCAAUAAGUCUGAUGUGAAAGCCUUCGGCUCAACCGGAGAAUUGCAUCAGAAACUGUUGAACUUGAGUGCAGAAGAGGAGAGUGGAACUCCAUGUGUAGCGGUGGAAUGCGUAGAUAUAUGGAAGAACACCAGUGGCGAAGGCGGCUCUCUGGUCUGCAACUGACGCUGAGGCUCGAAAGCAUGGGUAGCGAACAGGAUUAGAUACCCUGGUAGUCCAUGCCGUAAACGAUGAGUGCUAAGUGUUGGGAGGUUUCCGCCUCUCAGUGCUGCAGCUAACGCAUUAAGCACUCCGCCUGGGGAGUACGACCGCAAGGUUGAAACUCAAAGGAAUUGACGGGGGCCCGCACAAGCGGUGGAGCAUGUGGUUUAAUUCGAAGCAACGCGAAG